AAGUGGAGCAAUCCAUGAGUAAAGUGGCGACCGGGUGAGUAACACGUGACUAACCUACCCUUGAGUGGGGGAUAACCUCGGGAAACCGGGGCUAAUACCGCAUAACAUCUUUGGAUCGGAAGAACUGGAGAUCAAAGGAGCAAUUCGCUGAAGGAGGGGGUCGCGGCUGAUUAGCUAGUUGGCGGGGUAAUGGCCCACCAAGGCUUUGAUCGGUAGCCGGCCUGAGAGGGCGCACGGCCACACUGGAACUGAAACACGGUCCAGACUCCUACGGGAGGCAGCAGUGGGGAAUUUUGCGCAAUGGGGGAAACCCUGACGCAGCAACGCCGCGUGGAGGAUGAAGUCCCUUGGG
rnacentral:rRNA from 1 species